rnacentral:rRNA from 1 species
AUACGUAGGGGGCGAGCGUUAUCCGGAUUCAUUGGGCGUAAAGCGCGCGUAGGCGGCCCGUUUGGUCGGGAGUUAAAUCCGGGGGCUCAACCCCCGCCCGCUCCCGGUACCGGCGGGCUUGAGUCUGGGAGGGGGAGGCGGGAUUCCCAGAGUAGCGGGGGGAUGCGAGGAGAUUUGGAAGAACACCGGUGGCGAAGGCGGCCUGCGGGGCACCGACUGACGCGGAGGCGCGAAAGCGAGGGGAGCGAACAGGAUUAGAUGCCCUGGUAGUCCUGGCCGUAAACGAUGGACACUAGGUGUGGGGGGAUGUGCCCUCCGUGCCGCAGCUAACGCAUUAAGUGUCCCGCCUGGGGAGUACGGCCGCAAGGCUAAAACUCAAAGGAAUUGACGGGG